rnacentral:rRNA from 1 species
UACGAAGGGGGCUAGCGUUGCUCGGAAUUACUGGGCGUAAAGAGUGCGUAGGCGGUUUCUCAAGUCCGCUGUGAAAUCCCCGGGCUCAACCUGGGAAUGGCAGUGGAAACUAGGAGACUUGAAUCUGGCAGAGGGGGGUGGAAUUCCACGUGUAGCAGUGAAAUGCGUAGAGAUGUGGAGGAACACCGAUGGCGAAGGCGGCACUCUGGGACGGUACUGACGCUGAGACGCGAAAGCGUGGGGAGCGAACAGG